rnacentral:ncRNA from 1 species
GAGAUAGAGGCGCGAUAAAGAUUAGUAACACUUAUUGAGGCCAGCCAAGGCCGCUUGCAGAUUAGUGCGAAAUGCGGAACCGCCGAAGGAAAAAGUACGGCAAAACCUUUUCCUGGUUGCAGGGUUAAUAGCUCUGUGAUUGUCAUCAUUUAUUUAUGAUGGAGAGCUAUCUU